AACGAACGCUGGCGGCAGGCCUAACACAUGCAAGUCGAACGCCGUAGCAAUACGGAGUGGCAGACGGGUGAGUAACACGUGGGAACGUACCCUUCGGUUCGGAAUAACUCAGGGAAACUUGAGCUAAUACCGGAUACGUCCGAGAGGAGAAAGAUUUAUCGCCGAGGGAUCGGCCCGCGUCUGAUUAGCUUGUUGGUGAGGUAACGGCUCACCAAGGCGACGAUCAGUAGCUGGCUGAGAGGAUGAUCAGCCACAUUGGGACUGAGACACGGCCCAAACUCCUACGGGAGGCAGCAGUGGGGAAUAUUGGACAAUGGGCGCAAGCCUGAUCCAGCCAUGCCGCGUGAGUGAUGAAGG
rnacentral:rRNA from 1 species